rnacentral:rRNA from 1 species
UUAAGCCAUGCAUGUCUAAGUAUAAACGAUUUAUCGUGAAACCGCGAAWGGCUCAUUAUAACAGCUAUAAUUUACUUGAUCUUGACACAAUCCUACUUGGAUAACUGUGGUAAUUCUAGAGCUAAKACAUGCAUUAAAGCUCUGACCUCACGGGAAGAGUGCAUUUAUUAGAACAAAACCAAGCGGCUUCGGCUGUUUCUGGUUGACUCAUAGUAACUGAGCUGAUCGCAUGGUCUUGCACCGGCGACGUGUCUUUCAAGUAUCUGCCGUAUCAACUUUCGAUGGUAGUGUAUCUGACUACCAUGGUGAUCACGCGUAACGGAGAAUAAGGGUUCGGCUCCGGAGAGUUCGCCUGAGAAAUCGCGAACACAUCUAAGGAAGGCAGCAGGCGCGAAAAUUACCCACUCUCAGCACGAGGAGGUAGUGACGAAAAAUAACGAGACCGUUCUCUUAUGAGGCCGGUCAUCGGAAUGGGUACAAUUUAAACCCUUUAACGAGUAUCUAUGAGAGGGCAAGUCUGGUGCCAGCAGCCGCGGUAAUUCCAGCUCUCAAAGUGCAUAGAAUUAUUGCUGCGGUUAAAAAGCUCGUAGUUGGAUCUGUGCCAUAGGACGUGGUCCACCUUCGGGUGCGUACUACGCUCCUAGGCUUUUUGCUGGUUUUCCCGUCGUAGCCUUCACUGGUUGCGGCGGGUGGCUGGCGAGUUUACUUUGAGAAAAUCAGAGUGCUCAAUACAGGCGUAUCGCUUGAAUGAUUGUGCAUGGAAUAAUAGAAAAGGAUUUCGKUCCUCUUUUAUUGGUUUUGUGGACUGAGAUAAWGGUUAACAGGGACAACCGRGGGCAUUGUAUCUMUGCAGWGAGAGGGAAA